UGUGUGAGUGAGUGGUUGCGGGUGGAGAGCUAGCGUUUGGCUACUUUUUGGUACACGGCUGUGGUGAGCUUUUUCAUCUUUUUCACAUGCAUGAAAAAGGAACUCCUAGAGGA